AGCGUACACGGUGGAUGCCCUGGCAGUCAGAGGCGAUGAAGGACGUGCUAAUCUGCGAUAAGCGUCGGUAAGGUGAUAUGAACCGUUAUAACCGGCGAUUUCCGAAUGGGGAAACCCAGUGUGUUUCGACACACUAUCAUUAACUGAAUCCAUAGGUUAAUGAGGCGAACCGGGGGAACUGAAACAUCUAAGUACCCCGAGGAAAAGAAAUCAACCGAGAUUCCCCCAGUAGCGGCGAGCGAACGGGGAGCAGCCCAGAGUCUGAAUCAGUGUGUGUGUUAGUGGAAGCGUCUGGAAAGGCGCGCGAUACAGGGUGACAGCCCCGUACACAAAAAUGCACAUAUUGUGAGCUCGAUGAGUAGGGCGGGACACGUGGUAUCCUGUCUGAAUAUGGGGGGACCAUCCUCCAAGGCUAAAUACUCCUGACUGACCGAUAGUGAACCAGUACCGUGAGGGAAAGGCGAAAAGAACCCCGGCGAGGGGAGUGAAAAAGAACCUGAAACCGUGUACGUACAAGCAGUGGGAGCACGCUUAGGCGUGUGACUGCGUACCUUUUGUAUAAUGGGUCAGCGACUUAUAUUCUGUAGCAAGGUUAACCGAAUAGGGGAGCCGAAGGGAAACCGAGUCUUAACUGGGCGUUAAGUUGCAGGGUAUAGACCCGAAACCCGGUGAUCUAGCCAUGGGCAGGUUGAAGGUUGGGUAACACUAACUGGAGGACCGAACCGACUAAUGUUGAAAAAUUAGCGGAUGACUUGUGGCUGGGGGUGAAAGGCCAAUCAAACCGGGAGAUAGCUGGUUCUCCCCGAAAGCUAUUUAGGUAGCGCCUCGUGAACUCAUCUCCGGGGGUAGAGCACUGUUUCGGCAAGGGGGUCAUCCCGACUUACCAACCCGAUGCAAACUGCGAAUACCGGAGAAUGUUAUCACGGGAGACACACGGCGGGUGCUAACGUCCGUCGUGAAGAGGGAAACAACCCAGACCGCCAGCUAAGGUCCCAAAGUCAUGGUUAAGUGGGAAACGAUGUGGGAAGGCCCAGACAGCCAGGAUGUUGGCUUAGAAGCAGCCAUCAUUUAAAGAAAGCGUAAUAGCUCACUGGUCGAGUCGGCCUGCGCGGAAGAUGUAACGGGGCUAAACCAUGCACCGAAGCUGCGGCAGCGACGCUUAUGCGUUGUUGGGUAGGGGAGCGUUCUGUAAGCCUGUGAAGGUGUGCUGUGAGGCAUGCUGGAGGUAUCAGAAGUGCGAAUGCUGACAUAAGUAACGAUAAAGCGGGUGAAAAGCCCGCUCGCCGGAAGACCAAGGGUUCCUGUCCAACGUUAAUCGGGGCAGGGUGAGUCGACCCCUAAGGCGAGGCCGAAAGGCGUAGUCGAUGGGAAACAGGUUAAUAUUCCUGUACUUGGUGUUACUGCGAAGGGGGGACGGAGAAGGCUAUGUUGGCCGGGCGACGGUUGUCCCGGUUUAAGCGUGUAGGCUGGUUUUCCAGGCAAAUCCGGAAAAUCAAGGCUGAGGCGUGAUGACGAGGCACUACGGUGCUGAAGCAACAAAUGCCCUGCUUCCAGGAAAAGCCUCUAAGCAUCAGGUAACAUCAAAUCGUACCCCAAACCGACACAGGUGGUCAGGUAGAGAAUACCAAGGCGCUUGAGAGAACUCGGGUGAAGGAACUAGGCAAAAUGGUGCCGUAACUUCGGGAGAAGGCACGCUGAUAUGUAGGUGAAGUCCCUUGCGGAUGGAGCUGAAAUCAGUCGAAGAUACCAGCUGGCUGCAACUGUUUAUUAAAAACACAGCACUGUGCAAACACGAAAGUGGACGUAUACGGUGUGACGCCUGCCCGGUGCCGGAAGGUUAAUUGAUGGGGUCAGCGCAAGCGAAGCUCUUGAUCGAAGCCCCGGUAAACGGCGGCCGUAACUAUAACGGUCCUAAGGUAGCGAAAUUCCUUGUCGGGUAAGUUCCGACCUGCACGAAUGGCGUAAUGAUGGCCAGGCUGUCUCCACCCGAGACUCAGUGAAAUUGAACUCGCUGUGAAGAUGCAGUGUACCCGCGGCAAGACGGAAAGACCCCGUGAACCUUUACUAUAGCUUGACACUGAACAUUGAGCCUUGAUGUGUAGGAUAGGUGGGAGGCUUAGAAGUGUGGACGCCAGUCUGCAUGGAGCCGGCCUUGAAAUACCACCCUUUAAUGUUUGAUGUUCUAACGUUGGCCCCUGAUCGGGGUUGCGGACAGUGUCUGGUGGGUAGUUUGACUGGGGCGGUCUCCUCCUAAAGAGUAACGGAGGAGCACGAAGGUUGGCUAAUCCUGGUCGGACAUCAGGAGGUUAGUGCAAUGGCAUAAGCCAGCUUGACUGCGAGCGUGACGGCGCGAGCAGGUGCGAAAGCAGGUCAUAGUGAUCCGGUGGUUCUGAAUGGAAGGGCCAUCGCUCAACGGAUAAAAGGUACUCCGGGGAUAACAGGCUGAUACCGCCCAAGAGUUCAUAUCGACGGCGGUGUUUGGCACCUCGAUGUCGGCUCAUCACAUCCUGGGGCUGAAGUAGGUCCCAAGGGUAUGGCUGUUCGCCAUUUAAAGUGGUACGCGAGCUGGGUUUAGAACGUCGUGAGACAGUUCGGUCCCUAUCUGCCGUGGGCGCUGGAGAACUGAGGGGGGCUGCUCCUAGUACGAGAGGACCGGAGUGGACGCAUCACUGGUGUUCGGGUUGUCAUGCCAAUGGCACUGCCCGGUAGCUAAAUGCGGAAGAGAUAAGUGCUGAAAGCAUCUAAGCACGAAACUUGCCCCGAGAUGAGUUCUCCCUGACUCCUUGA
rnacentral:rRNA from 1 species